UACAACCUCGGGUGCUCGAGUCUUGUUAUUUUUGAACCUACAGUAACUUUAAAAGGGAUUCCUAUAUUUGUAUGUGGAUGUCGGGCCGCACUGCAAUCAGCGGAUGGCAGAAGCAUACGUGCGGUUGCCCACCUAGCAUGGCUAGGAGUCAAAAGACAAGAGUCGGCAUUUCGGGGGAUUUU
rnacentral:other from 1 species